rnacentral:rRNA from 1 species
UACGUAGGACCCGAGCGUUGUCCGGAUUUACUGGGUGUAAAGGGCGUGUAGGUGGGUCUCUAAGUCGGUGGUGAAAUCUUGCAGCUCAACUGCAAAACUGCCAUCGAUACUGGAGAUCUUGAGUGCGGAAGAGGGAGACGGAAUUCAUGGUGUAGCGGUGAAAUGUGUAGAUAUCAUGAAGAACACCGGUAGCGAAGGCGGUCUCCUGGUCCGCAACUGACACUGAGGCGCGAAAGCGUGGGGAGCAAACAGG